rnacentral:rRNA from 1 species
GGUAGCAUAAUCACUUGCUGCUUAAUUGGCAGCUGGAAUGAAAGGUUAAACUGGCUUAGCCAGUUUGUUUUUCUAGUUAAAACCUUUAAGUCAAGGUAAGAAUUCUUUGAUAAGCUAGGGGACGAUAAGACCCUAGAAGCUUAACAAAUAGUUAAAGUGUUAGUCAUGCUUAAUAUUUUGGUUUACUGGGGCGGUGACAAUGAUUGAACCAUUUAUACAUAAACUGGUCCCCCUUAUAGGGAAAAAUUGGUGUAGUUACUCUAGGGUUAACAGUGCUAUAUUUUUGGAGAGACCUUAUCGAUAAAAAUUUUUGCAACCUCGAUGUUGAAUUAAGAUGUCUGCGUAAAGUAGCAGGUACGUAAGAGGGUUUGUUCAACCUUUUAAGUCUUACAUGAUCUGAGUUCAAACCGGAG